rnacentral:rRNA from 1 species
UUAAAUUGAAGAGUUUGAUCAUGGCUCAGAUUGAACGCUGGCGGCAGGCCUAACACAUGCAAGUCGAACGGUAACAGGAAGCAGCUUGCUGCUUCGCUGACGAGUGGCGGACGGGUGAGUAAUGUCUGGGAAACUGCCUGAUGGAGGGGGAUAACUACUGGAAACGGUGGCUAAUACCGCAUAACGUCGCAAGACCAAAGAGGGGGACCUUCGGGCCUCUUGCCAUCAGAUGUGCCCAGAUGGGAUUAGCUUGUUGGUGAGGUAACGGCUCACCAAGGCGACGAUCCCUAGCUGGUCUGAGAGGAUGACCAGCCACACUGGAACUGAGACACGGUCCAGACUCCUACGGGAGGCAGCAGUGGGGAAUAUUGCACAAUGGGCGCAAGCCUGAUGCAGCCAUGCCGCGUGUAUGAAGAAGGCCUUCGGGUUGUAAAGUACUUUCAGCGGGGAGGAAGGUGUUGCGGUUAAUAACCGCAGCAAUU